rnacentral:rRNA from 1 species
CCUGCCCCAUAGUCUGGGAUACCACUUGGAAACAGGUGCUAAUACCGGAUAAGAAAGCAGAUCGCAUGAUCAGCUUUUAAAAGGCGGCGUAAGCUGUCGCUAUGGGAUGGCCCCGCGGUGCAUUAGUUAGUUGGUAAGGUAAAGGCUUACCAAGGCGAUGAUGCAUAAGCCGAGUUGAGAGACUGAUCGGCCACAUUGGGACUGAGACACGGCCCAAACUCCUACGGGAGGCAGCAGGC